rnacentral:rRNA from 1 species
UGGGGAAUCUUGCGCAAUGGGCGAAAGCCUGACGCAGCAACGCCGCGUGCGGGAAGAAGGCUUUCGGGCUGUAAACCGCUUUCAGUAGGAACGAAACUGACGGUACCUACAGAAGAAGGAGCGGCCAACUAUGUGCCAGCAGCCGCGGUGACACAUAGGCUCCAAGCGUUGUCCGGAUUUAUUGGGCGUAAAGAGCUCGUAGGCGGUUGAGUAAGUCGGGUGUGAAAACUUUGGGCUUAACCCAAAGAUGCCACUCGAUACUGCUUUGACUUGAGUUCGGUAGGGGAGUGGGGAAUUCCUUGUGUAGCGGUGAAAUGCGCAGAUAUAAGGAGGAACACCGGUGGCGAAGGCGCCACUCUGGGCCGAUACUGACGCUGAGGAGCGAAAGCGUGGGGAGCAA